CUAACACAUGCAAGUCGAACGGUAACAGGAAGAAGCUUGCUUCUUGCUGACGAGUGGCGGACGGGUGAGUAAUGUCUGGGAAACUGCCUGAUGGAGGGGGAUAACUACUGGAAACGGUAGCUAAUACCGCAUAACGUCGCAAGACCAAAAAGGGGGACCUUCGGGCCUCUUGCCAUCGGAUGUGCCCAGAUGGGAUUAGCUAGUAGGUGGGGUAACGGCACACCUAGGCGACGAUCCCUAGCUGGUCUGAGAGGAUGACCAGCCACACUGGAACUGAGACACGGUCCAGACUCCUACGGGAGGCAGCAGUGGGGAAUAUUGCACAAUGGGCGCAAGCCUGAUGCAGCCAUGCCGCGUGUAUGAAGAAGGCCUUCGGGUUGUAAAGUACUUUCAGCGGGGAGGAAGGGAGUAAAGUUAAUACCUUUGCUCAUUGACGUUACCCGCAGAAGAAGCACCGGCUAACUCCGUGCCAGCAGCCGCGGUAAUACGGAGGGUGCAAGCGUUAAUCGGAAUUACUGGGCGUAAAGCGCACGCAGGCGGUUUGUUAAGUCAGAUGUGAAAUCCCCGGGCUCAGCCUGGGAAACUGCAUCUGAUACUGGCAAGCUUGAGUCUCGUAGAGGGGGGUAGAAUUCCAGGUGUAGCGGUGAAAUGCGUAGAGAUCUGGAGGAAU
rnacentral:rRNA from 1 species